GAUGAACGCUGGCGGCGUGCUUAACACAUGCAAGUCGAACGGAAAGGCCCAAGCUUGCUUGGGUACUCGAGUGGCGAACGGGUGAGUAACACGUGGGUGAUCUGCCCUGCACUUCGGGAUAAGCCUGGGAAACUGGGUCUAAUACCGGAUAGGACGAUGGUUUGGAUGCCAUUGUGGAAAGUUUUUUCGGUGUGGGAUGAGCUCGCGGCCUAUCAGCUUGUUGGUGGGGUAAUGGCCUACCAAGGCGUCGACGGGUAGCCGGCCUGAGAGGGUGUACGGCCACAUUGGGACUGAGAUACGGCCCAGACUCCUACGGGAGGCAGCAGUGGGGAAUAUUGCACAAUGGGCGCAAGCCUGAUGCAGCGACGCCGCGUGGGGGAUGACGGCCUUCGGGUUGUAAACUCCUAUCGCUAGGGACGAAGCGUUUUUGUGACGGUACCUGGAGAAGAAGCACCGGCUAACUACGUG
rnacentral:rRNA from 1 species